rnacentral:rRNA from 1 species
AAGUCUGAGAACGAGUGAAAUGCUUUUUCUCUCAAGGACAAGCUGUGAUGGGGAGCGAAAUUAAGUAGCGAAGUUCCUGAUGUCACACUGCCAAGAAAAGCUUCUAGUGAGAAAGUAACUGCCCGUACCGCAAACCGACACAGGUAGUUGAGGAGAGAAUCCUAAGGUGUGCGAGAGAACUCUCGUUAAGGAACUCGGCAAAAUGACCCCGUAACUUCGGGAGAAGGGGUGCUGACCGCAAGGUCAGCCGCAGUGAAUAGGCCCAAGCGACUGUUUAUCAAAAACACAGGUCUCUGCAAAAUCGAAAGAUGACGUAUAGGGGCUGACGCCUGCCCGGUGCUGGAAGGUUAAGAGGAGAGGUUAGCGCAAGCGAAGCUUUGAAUUGAAGCCCCAGUAAACGGCGGCCGUAACUAUAACGGUCCUAAGGUAGCGAAAUUCCUUGUCGGGUAAGUUCCGACCCGCACGAAAGGCGUAACGAUUUGGGCACUGUCUCAACGAGAGACUCGGUGAAAUUAUAGUACCAGUGAAGAUGCUGGUUACCCGCGACAGGACGGAAAGACCCCAUGGAGCUUUACUGCAGUUUGAUAUUGCGUGUUUGUAUCACAUGUACAGGAUAGGUAGGAGCCAAUGAUACCGGGACGCCAGUCUCGGAGGAGGCAACGGUGGGAUACUACCCUUGUGAUAUGACCACUCUAACCCGCUGCUCUUAGCGAGCAGGGAGACAGUGUCAGACGGGCAGUUUGACUGGGGCGGUCGCCUCCAAAAAUGUAACGGAGGCGCCCAAAGGUUCCCUCAGAAUGGUUGGAAAUCAUUCGUAGAGUGUAAAGGCAGAAGGGAGCUUGACUGCGAGACCUACAAGUCGAGCAGGGACGAAAGUCGGGCUUAGUGAUCCGGUGGUUCCGCAUGGAAGGGCCAUCGCUCAACGGAUAAAAGCUACCCUGGGGAUAACAGGCUUAUCUCCCCCAAGAGUUCACAUCGACGGGGAGGUUUGGCACCUCGAUGUCGGCUCAUCGCAUCCUGGGGCUGUAGUCGGUCCCAAGGGUUGGGCUGUUCGCCCAUUAAAGCGGUACGCGAGCUGGGUUCAGAACGUCGUGAGACAGUUCGGUCCCUAUCCGUCGCGGGCGUUGGAAAUUUGAGAGGAGCUGUCCUUAGUACGAGAGGACCGGGAUGGACACACCGCUGGUGUACCAGUUGUUCUGCCAAGAGCAUCGCUGGGUAGCUAUGUGUGGACGGGAUAAACGCUGAAAGCAUCUAAGCGUGAAGCCCCCCUCAAGAUGAGAUUUCCCAUCACUUUAAGUGAGUAAGACCCCUGAGAGAUGAUCAGGUAGAUAGGUUGGGAGUGGAAGUACAGCGAUGUAUGGAGCGGACCAAUACUAAUCGGUCGAGGACUUAACCA